GGCGAACGCUGGCGGCGUGCCUAAUACAUGCCAGUUGAGCGCUGAAGGUUGGUACUUGUACCGACUGGAUGAGCAGCGAACGGGUGAGUAACGCGUGGGGAAUCUGCCUUUGAGCGGGGGACAACAUUUGGAAACGAAUGCUAAUACCGCAUAAAAACUUUAAACACAAGUUUUAAGUUUGAAAGAUGCAAUUGCAUCACUCAAAGAUGAUCCCGCGUUGUAUUAGCUAGUUGGUGAGGUAAAGGCUCACCAAGGCGAUGAUACAUAGCCGACCUGAGAGGGUGAUCGGCCACAUUGGGACUGAGACACGGCCCAAACUCCUACGGGAGGCAGCAGUAGGGAAUCUUCGGUAAUGGACGAAAGUCUGACCGAGCAACGCCGCGUGAGUGAAGAAGGUUUUCGGAUCGUAAAACUCUGUUGGUAGAGAAGAACGUUGGUGAGAGUGGAAAGCUCAUCAAGUGACGGUAACUACCCAGAAAGGGACGGCUAACUACGUG
rnacentral:rRNA from 1 species